rnacentral:precursor_RNA from 10 species
AUGGUCUAAAAAUCAGAGCGUUUAGUGUUUGCUACGCAGACUUUCUGUACUGUAAUUUGAAACAUUACAGAAAGCGUGUGUGUGCUAAAACUGCGCUUAUUAUCUUCUACGAACCUG